GACGAACGCUGGCGGCGUGCUUAACACACGCAAGUCGUACGGUAAGGCCCUUUCGGGGGUACACGAGUGGCGAACGGGUGAGUAACACGUGAGUAACCUGCCCACAACUUUGGGAUAACGCUAGGAAACUGGUGCUAAUACUGGAUAUGUGCUCCUGCUGCAUGGUGGGGGUUGGAAAGCUCCGGCGGUUGUGGAUGGACUCGCGGCCUAUCAGCUUGUUGGUGGGGUAGUGGCCUACCAAGGCGGCGACGGGUAGCCGGCCUGAGAGGGUGACCGGCCACAUUGGGACUGAGAUACGGCCCAGACUCCUACGGGAGGCAGCAGUGGGGAAUAUUGCACAAUGGGCGCAAGCCUGAUGCAGCAACGCCGCGUGCGGGAUGACGGCCUUCGGGUUGUAAACCGCUUUCAGCAGGGACGAAGCUUUUUGUGACGGUACCUGCAGAAGAAGCACCGGCUAACUACGUG
rnacentral:rRNA from 1 species